rfam:Gossypium arboreum cultivar AKA8401 contig_11636_1, whole genome shotgun sequence.
UGUUAAAAAUUUCAUCAAUUUCUACGGUUAAAAAUUGGUAUAACUCACGAAAUAACCAGAUAGUUACACGUGAAAUGCCAUAUGUACCUUAUGUUGACGUACAGGGACCAAUUUCUAACUGUAAAAAUAGAUGAAAUUUUUAAUA